UUUCUUUUUUUAAAAGUUUAUUAUUGUUGCCAAUAUAUAAUAGCUUACUAUGUGUAGGUAUCCUACCUACAUUAUCUCUAAUCCUCAAUAUAACCCCAUGAGGUAGGUUGUGUUAAUUACAUUUUGCACGUGAAGAAACUGAGGCCCAGGGAGGCUAAAUGAUUUUCCCUGUCAUGCAUUCAGCUGCAGACAUGGAAACUGAACCUAUGUAUGUCUCACCCAGAGCCCAAAUUACCAAUCCUCCUGUUGGUAGUUGUAUAAAGACAAGGUGGUUUAAACAGAUUUCCAGACUGAGUCACAAAACACUGACAACUCAAGUACUGAAGAAAAAGAAAGACAAAGGUGUAAAUGUAAUUAUGGUGGGAAAUAUUAAACAUGUAUUUUUUAAUGUCCACAAACCCACUAAAAUUAAAUCAACUCAAUAAAUAGAAUAAACAUGUAGUAAAUCAUGCCUGACAUAUAGGCAUAUUCUGGUUUCAGUGGUUAACUGGAUCUAAAAACUGAUUCUUUAUGAAAAUACUAAUGAAAUACACAUACUGAAGGUAAAGGUUUUCAAAGCACAAUACAAAGUUGGAAAUGAAGGUAGAAAUAUAACAGUUUUUUUUCUCCAUAUCAGACAGGUAAUGUACUAACGCUGUAACAAGCUCUUUGGGAGGCACAUCUCAUACAUGCAAUGGGAACACCUAAUUACUAUGUUUAUGAACUAUAAAAGGAUCUAAGUUUUAAAAGAGUAUUUUUAAAUUGGAUGUUAUUUGUAAAACAAACUUCAAAAUCAUAAACGAGUGCAAUUCUACUAAAGUACCCAAAGUGAUAAUACUAAAAAUGCUUUGAUUUCAUUAUCCUGACAUUUUGGAUUUUGUAUAUAUUUAUAUUUUCUCUUUAAUUUUAUUACAAACAUUUGGCAUAUGUCUUUAGUCUCUUACUCUCAACUCUUUAUUUUAACCAAGUCCUAUUUCAGUAUCAUGACCCUUCCUCUACAAUCACCCUGACCAGAAAGUCACACUUAUUUUUGUCUUAAAAAGGGGGAAAAAAGGUUGAAAUCUGAGCCAGAAACAGCAAAUAAUUUAAAUGCCAACAAGUCUAGCUUAGACUCCAAACAAAAAUACUACAUUAUAUAAAAAUUAGAGAAUCAGCUGAAGAAUAGACCAUGUUCGUUCCUUGGUGGUGGAUGAAAUUAUCAAUUAGCCAGCAACACCAACUAGGGAUUAGUAUAAUGAAGACCUUCAAAGGGUGUUUGGUGCCAUCUACUGGAAAUGAAGUAGUAAGUAUAAAACAAAGGUUUUGAGAUUCGGAGUUUUCCUAGAAAUUAUUUUACACAGAUGUAUGGAAUGACCAGUUAAUUAAGAAAACCUGAAAGUAUAAGUUUUGAAGAAAGAACUGAGAAUCCUAAGAUAAUGAAGAAGUGGUGACUUUCAAUACCUAGUGCCUCAAAGGCAUGGCCUAAGCAUUGACUGACUGAGAGUCACAGCUCCAGAAAUAGAAGCUGGGAAUUCUAGAAUGUUUGAACCAGAAUUUUAUGACCAGAACUUUAAAUAAAAAGUUAUGUGUAAUAGCAUAAACAUGGGAUGACAAUAGUUUAUAUCUUUGAGCACAUAUCAAGAUAAACUAAUUGAGAUAUAUACUUGAAAAUGGGGAAUUACAAAGACAUAAAAUAUUAGACUUGUCAGAUAAUCUUUACUGCCAAGUUAAUCUCUGCCCAGUCUCCUCUGGGAGGCUUAUACUCCAGAUGGGCAUAGGACAGUAUAUUAAGAGGUAAAUGCCAAUACUGAGCAAGCAGCAGGCUCAUCACACACUAUGGAGUUCUCUGCCGGAGAUGCCGCUUCAGAGAGCACCCCAGAGUGGCAGGGAAGAAAACUGUUACCGUAUUAUAAUCCUGAAGUGCCUAAAAAGUUCUAUCACUAUGGGAAUUAAAGCCCCCUAUUUAUAACUGAGUUUGAUACCUCCUAACUACUAUGACAUUAAAAUAUAUUUUGUCUUAUAAGGUUUUGAGGAAUUGAUUUUGUUCCUCGAAGCAGAUAAAUCAGGAUUUCAAGUUUCUGGUUCAACAGUAUCAUCUCUUUCUUUGUGGCUAUUUUGGACACACUAAUAUGAUACCUAACAUCAUAAUAUUAAAUUUUAAAAACCUUUAAAAACACUGUUUUGCAAAAAUUAGUCACUCUACAAAUCUGUGAUUUAGAAAAUGAGGCAACAGCCAGGGGCCGUGGCUCAUGCCUGUAAUCUCAACACUUUGGGAGGCUGAAAUGGGAGGAUCACUUGAGCUCAGGAGUUUGAGACCAGACUGGGCAACAUAGUGAGAACUCACCUCUACUCAAAAAAUAAAUUAGCUGGGUGUGGUGGUGCAGCCUGUAGUCCCAGCUACUUGGGAGGCUGAAGCAAGAGGACUGCUUGAGCCCAGGAAGUUGAUGCUCCAGUGAGCAUAAUUGCACCACACAGCACUCCAGCCAGAGCAGGUAAACAAACAAACAAACAAAAAGGCAAUGGCUAAAUUGUCAUAUGUAUAUCACACAAAACACUAUGCAGCAGCUUUUUAAAAGGUAGAUUUAUAUAUACUGUCAAGAAAAGAUCCCUAAGGCACAGUGUUGAGUAAAUAGAUUGUAAAAUAACCCUUACAGCAUUUUCUUUUUAAAGGCCCAAACUAUGUAUUUUCCCAAUUUCCUACUCUGCUAUAUACAUACAGGCAUGGACAAAAGAUACAAAGCAAAGGAUUAGCAGAAAGAAUGGGCAAUAUCAUUCUGAGUACUGUUCGAAAGGAGUUUAGCUUUGUCACGAUGUUUUAAGACUGUUACAAGAAAGACGCUUGCCACAAAUGAUAUUUCCUAAAAGAAAAAAAUGUAAUAUUUAACUUUUCUUCUGUUGAGGCAAGAUAAGUCAACUGCAUAUAUCAUAAAUAAGAUUUUCUUACUUUACAAGAAGGAAGAACUGAGAUCCUGUUUUUUGAAUGCAAGUUAAAUACAAAAUAAAGUACUUGGGUAACUAAAGGUAAUCAGAUGUAAAAUGAAGAUCAAGGGACUAGGUUAGUGAAAAAAGGUUACAGAACUAUAUUCACAAAUUCAAGACAUGGGUUGAGCGUUGCACUCUGUGCCAGCCACUGUGUGGUGCUGGGGCUGCAGAGCUAACCAAAGAGAUCCCCCACUUCUCCGAGCUCACUGUCUAAUAGAAGAACCAGACGUAAUAAAAGAAUAUAGGGUAUGUCAGGCAGUGAUAAAUGCGGUGAAGACAAGUAAAGGAGGGCUUGGAGAGCCACACGGAGAAACUGGAACCCUCAUAUAUUGUGGAUGGGACUGUAAAAUAGUGCAGCAGCUUUGAAAGACAGUUUGACAGUGCUUUAUGUUUAAGUUAAACAUAGUUUCCAUGACUUGGUAAUUCCACUCCUAAGCAUACUCCCAAGAGAACUGAAAACAUGUUCAUACAAAAACUUGUAUACAAAUGUUCUGGCACCAUUCUUUCUUUCUUUCUUUUUUCUGAGAUGGAGUCUCACUCUGUCACCCAGGCUGGAGUGCAAUGGUGCAAUCUCUGCUUACUGCAACCUCCGCCUCCUGGGUUCAAGCAAUUCUCCUGCCUCAGCCUCGCAAGUAGCUGGGAUUACAGGCACACGCCACCAUGUCUGGCUAAUUUUUGUAUUUUUAGUAGAGACAGGGUUUCACUAUGUUGGCCAGGCUGGUCUUGAACUCCUGACCUCAAGUGAUCUGCCCACCUCGGCCUCCCAAAGUGCUGGGAUUACUGGCAUAAGCCACCACACCCAGCCAUGGCACCAUUAUUUCUUAAUAGUCAAUAAGUGAAAACAACUCACAUGCCCAUCAACUGAUGAAUUAUAAACAAAAAUGUGGUAUAACUAUAGAAUGGAAUAUUAUUUGCAGACAAAAAAGAAUGAUGGAUGUACUGAUACAUGCUACAACACAGAGGAACUUUGAAAACAUUAUGCUAAAUGAGAGAAGCCAGACACAAAAGGCUACAUGUUGUAUUAUUCCAUUUAUAUGAAAUGUUCAAAAUAGGUACAUCUGUAGAGACAGGAAGUACAUUAGUGGAUUCUAGGGGUAGGGGGAUGAGGAGUGAUUAUUAAUGGAUAUGAGGUUUCUUUCUGGGGUUAUGAAAACAUUCUGGAAUUAGGAAUGAUGGAUGCAUAACUCUGAGUAUAUUAAAAACCACUGAAUUGUAAGCUUUAGAAGGGUAAAUUUUAUGGCAUAUAAAUUUUAUCUCAACUUUUUAAAUGUUAAAAAAAAAAAGAGUAAAGCAGAGUACAGAGACAGGGAAGAAAGUUUCCUAUUUUGGAUAGGGUGAUCAGGAAUGACCUUAGUUUGAGCAGAGAUCUGAACAAUGUAAAGAAGCUACUCGUGCAAAUCGGGGAGGUGGGGGAACAUUCCAGAAGGAAGAAAGAGCAAGUGAGAAGACUCUGGGAGUAGACACAAGCCUGUUUUGAAAGAACAGCAAGGAGGCCGGCCAGUGUAGCUCAGUGCAGUGAGCAAGAGUGAGGCUGUAGAAAGCCAGGGUCUAGGUCAUAUGGAGGCCCUGUAGACCACACUGAGGACUGGACUUUAUUCUAAAUGAUUUAAAAAAAUCACUGGAGCCAGGAGCAAUAUGACUAGUUGCACAUUUAAUUAAUUAAUUAAUUUAGAGACAAAAUCUCGCUCUGUUGCCCAGGCUGGAAUGUAGUGGUGAGAUCUUGGCUCACUGCAGCCUCCGCCUCCAGAUUUCAAGCAAAACUCCUGCCCCAGCCACCCGAGUAGCUGGGAUUACAGGUGCAUGCCACCACGUCCAGCUAAUUUUUGAAUAUUUAGUAGAGAUGGAGUUUCACCACAUUGGCCAAACUGGUCUCAAACUCCUGACCUCAAGUGAUCCGCUGGCCUCAGCCUCACAAAGAGCUGGGAUUAUAGGCAGGAGCCACUGCGCCCAGCCUUGAUGUACAUUUCAAAAGGUUCCUCUCUGAUACUGGAUGGAGAAUAAACAGGCAGCAAGAGUGGAAGGAGGAAGACUUGUUAGGAGGCUACUGCAGUAGUCCAGGCAAGAGAGAUGGCUUAGGUUAGCACAGGUGGUGAAAAGUGGUCAAAUUCAAAAUGUACUCUGACGUUAAAGCCAAAAUAAUCUGCUAAUGAAUCAGAUGUAAGGCAUAAAAUAAAAGAGUCAAAGAUGGCCCCAAGGACCAUGGUCUGAGCAAAGGAGUGAAUGAAAGGGCCAUUUACUAUGAUGGGAAAGCCCCAAAAAAGAAGACUGGGCAGAGUUCUGUUCAGUUAAUCUUAAAUUUGAGGUGCCUAAUAGUCUAGUUGCAUAUACAUGACUGUAGUUCAGUAAAAUGGUCCGACAGGAAGAGUAUAAAUUUGAGAGAGAUGGCAGAAGGUGUUUGAAGCCACACAAAUGGACACUUCACCAAAGAAGAGACUAGAGAGUCCAAGGACUGAGCCCUGGAGCACUUAACAUUUAGACACUUAGAAAACUUGGCUCAAUUUACAUCCCCUAUGAGGAUGAGCCUCUUAGAGGAAGAAUACAAGGAUGCUGCACUUUGGUUAUUCUUCCAGAAUUAGAUGAUCUAAUGGAUAAAAAGUUCCUUCAAACCAAGACUUUUGGGAUCAAAGGUAUCUUUUCUCGAUUUUUCAAAGAUUUCCUCUUCUUCUAUUUCUUUAGUGUUAGCUCACAGACAGCAGAUCUGUUGACCUACCAGAUUCUCUCAGAUUAUUUAUCUGCAAAGUAUGCUGCCUUAAGGACUUCAAGUCAAAUCUCUAGUAACACAACACCAAUAAAAUGAUAAGGCAGUACUUUGGUUUGGAGUAUAUUAUUUUAUCCUAGAAGAUUUGGCUUCACUAUUAAGACAACAAUUAGGUCUGCUUUUCUUAGGUAUACACAAAAAUAGAAACAGUCCUUAUGAUGGAUUAUUUACAGAUAUAUAGUAUUUUGGUGGGUAGAGGCAUGGGGAACUAUUUAGCUCAGCUGGCAAAAAGUCCAAGCAAAACAAUCCAAAUGCCUAGAGUGGUGACAGUUGUGCAAUGGGUACUUCAAAGCUGUACAACAUUCAAAUACUUAAACAUUGAAGGCAGUAGGUAGAAUAAACAUCAAGAGUUUCUGCCUUUAUGCUGAAUAGCAUUAGCUUUCUCAUCUGGGAAAUGGGAGAUGGUAGUACCUGCUCUAUUUAUCUCAUAAGGAUUAAGUGAAUCAAGGUGCUCUGCACCCUGUAGCAUGCAAUGCAGUCAUUAUCAUUAUUAUUUUCUUUACAGGGAACUAACGUGCCAGGAAAGCUUUCAAAGAACUAAGUAGGCCAGGCAUGGAGGCUCGUGCUUGUAAUCCCAGCACUUUGGGAGGCUGAGGUGGGUGAUCACCUGAGCUCAGGAGUUCGAGACCAGCCUGGCCAACAUAGUGAAACCCCAUCUCUACUAAAAAUACAAAAAUUGAGGCUGAGCACGGUGGCUCAUGCCUGUAAUCCUAGCAUUUUGGGAGGCCGAGGCAGGUGGAUCAUGAGGUCAGGAGAUUGAGACCAUCCUGGCUAACAUGGUGAAACCCCAUCUCUACUAAAAAUACAAAAAAUUAGUCAGGCGUGGUGGUAAGCGCCUGUAGUCCUAGCUACUUGGGAGUCUGAGGCAGGAGAAUUGCUUAAACCCAGGAGGUGGAGGUUGCAGUGAGCCAAGAUAAUGCCACUGCACUCCAGCCUGGGCGACAGAGCAAGACUCUGUCUCAAAAAAAAAAAAAAAAAAAAGAACUACAAUAGGUGGUCAAAUUUCAGAUGCAAUAGGAUUUAAAAAUCUAGUUAAAGAUUUGUAAAAGGUACAUGCAAGGAUAACCAUUACAGAAUUGCUUAAAGUAGCAAAAUAUUAGAAAUAACUUAAAAAUAACUUGAAUGUCCAUCAACAGGGAAUUAGUUAAAUAAAUUAUGGUCCAUCCUACCAUGGAUUGACUAUAAAGCAGCCCUUAAAAAUCUAGAGAUAAGGCCAGGCACGGUGGCUCAUCCCUGUAAUCCCAGCACUUUGGGAGGCCAAGGGGGGGUGGAUCAUCUGAGGUCAGGAGUUUGAGACCAGCCUGGACAACAUGGUGAAACCCUGUCUCUACCAAAAAUGCAAAAAUUAGCCGGGCGUGGUGGUGCACGCCUGUAAUCCCAGCUACCAGGAAGCUGAGGCAGGAUAAUUGCUUGAGCCCUGGCGGGAGAGGUUGCAGUGGGCCAAAACUGCGCCACUGCCCUCUAGCCUAGGUGACAGAGUGAAACUCUGUCUCAAAAAGGAAAAAAAAAAAAAAAGAAAUUAAAAAACUGAGACAAUUUUACCGGUACCGAUAAGAAACCAUCACAAGAUGUAUAAGAUGUAUGUGAACAAAGACUAGGUGCAGAACAGUAUGAAGAGUUUGCUUCUAUCUUUAUAUACAAGACAUAUAUAUAUAUAGAUAGAUAGAUAUAGAUAUGUUAUAUAUAUAUAUGUAUAACAUAUAUACAACCAUAUAUAAAUAUAUGGUUGUAUAUACGUGGAAUAUCUCUGAAAGGAUAUACAAUUAAUGCAUCACUAGAUAUCCUUUGUAUCAUCUGAAUUGUGUUCCAUGUUUGUAGUACUUACUCAGGAAAAUAGGUUAAAACCUAGCCACACAGCCUCAACUACCAGCAAAGUCUACAACAGAAUGGGUGAUGGUUAUUAUCUUCAAUAGAAAAAGAGCGUUCUUCAAAUGAAAAAAAGAAAAGCUUGCCAAAAGACAAAUAUUAAUAGAUCCAAGAUUUAAAAUUAGCAUGUUACAAAAGAAAUAUGGCUAAUACAUUUAAAAAAUAUUCAUCCUCCCUAGAAAUGAAACAAAAAUACAAAACCAAAUAGUACCAUUAUUUUACCCAUCAGGUAGGAAACUUUAAAACAAAUUUUACACUUAAUAUUUGUACAUGUAUCUGAAACAAGAAUGCUCAUACUUUACUGGAUAGAGUUGGCUGUUACCUUUUAGCCAGAGAUACCAAAUGUCUUAAAACAUGUAUACAUGGCCCUUUUAAUCUCACUCAGCAAUGCCACGUCUAAGUACGGACCCUGAGGA
rnacentral:lncRNA from 1 species